rnacentral:lncRNA from 1 species
CGGAAAACAUGCCAUAAGGUUCAAACGUCUAAAAAUACAAAAUGUUGAAAACUGAAUACUAAUACAUUCGUCUGAAAAAUGCUGUAGUCUGAAAGCCUCUAAAUUGUCUGAAUAAGGAGUUGAUGGGACAUGUCCCCAACUGGCUCCAACUACUGAAAUACUAAAACUAGUAAUCAAAUGAAAUAAGAACCAUCCUCGAAUGAUGAGGACUCACUGCUAGGUCUACUGCUGCUGACUGGAACUGAGCUACCAAGGGUGCUCUGGAUCUCGCGCUCCUGAACCUAUGGCGUAAGGUAAAACACCAUAGCGCAAAUACGCCAAUACGAUUAAAUGUACUGGUACGCAAGACGGGGUAAGGCUAAAUUCAAUGCUUAUGCAUGAACUACACUAACUGAAUAAUCUGAGUAUGCUGAAUGAGGAUACAUGCAUGAAUGCAUAAACUAUAACUAAAAUCAUAAUAACACUGAAUGCUAACUUCUGAAUGCUUGCACUUUUGACAACUGAGCUUACUACUAUUGAGAGACUGAUUAUUUGAGUCUGCAAAUAACCGGAUUCUGAGCUUACUAAUAUCAACUGACUAGAACUGAGGUCAGACCUAUCUAGCGGGUGACCUUUAGAUCUACUAAUAAUGAUAAGGAAUAAUGGUAUAUGAGAUAGGCUUAUCUAAUGGGUGAUCUCUUAAUCUUCUCAUGAUGAUGAUAACUGAAUGAGUUUUAGAUCAAGCCUACCUAGCGGGUGAUCUCUAAAUCUAUGGAACUACCUAAGUUCCUCACUGAACUGUGUGACCGUGUCUGACGGUCCUAAAUCAGAAGACAUAUAUGAGUUCUUGACUAAAACUGAAUCCGGAGCUGAAACUGUAACUAUGGGAGUUCUCACUUAACUGACAUGCCUCGAAUCUAAAUAGUGGGGUCCAACCUGUAACCCCAGCUGAAAGGGCAUUAGUACCGUGCCACGGGUAAAGACACUUGUAUGGUCAUCCUGUCUAACGGGUGGCCCUGAACAAGAAGUCAAGCCUAAGGCAUCGGGUGACUCCUAUAAGGUAGUCAAGCCUUAUUCUAAUGGGUGUGUCCUGAUCCUGCGCUGGAUACGCAGUUCUGGAGUACAGGAACUGCUCCUAACGACUCUGCCUCUCUAACAGGGAAGCUAUGUCAUCCCUACACUCGCUCGAAUCUAGUUCCUACUCCCAAUUGAAAGGCAGUGAACUGAUUCUUAAACGGUACUGUACUGAGCUAAAUAUGUUAUCGAUUAUCUUACUUGAUCGAUUUAACUGAGUUCACUUACUUCUAUUCUCUGAUGGAAUACUUUUGAAUUCUACUUACCGUCUGAAUACUACUGAGUCUUGUAACUUACUGAGCUUUACUUAAAUAUGAACUGAGUACAGAGCUGGAUUAGACUGAAUAUUAAGAUUAAUGAGUUUUCAUAAUGUUCUAUCACUAACUGAGUUCUAUUGAUCAUAGCACGACUGAGAUUAUUUUGCAACUAACUCGGCUCUAUACAAGCAUCUAAGUUUUUGGGUAUUAAAUACCGCCAAGACUCGAUAACAUAAAUAAAUAAUACAUGAAAACUCUUGCGUUACAACACAACAAUAGACUAUCGUUCACAAAAUAAUCAAUGAAGCAUUACGUCAAGUACUUGGGAAUUUCAAACAUACAAUUGUAUAGGGAGCACAUUCUAUUGUCUCAUAACUCAUCCAAUAAAGAGUUCUCAUGAAUAGGAAUGAAUGCAAAAUAUCAUAAUCUAUUCAUUUAGGCCUUUCAACAAACACUUGGUAUGCACUAGUUGACACAUACUUGGGGAUUUCAUACAUAACAUAUUACAUGGACACUAUUUCCUUCACAUAAGCAAUUUAUUAAACAUGUGGAAGGCAUGCUUUGGUAACACAACAUUCAAUACACAUAAUUAACAUGAUUACAUAAUUCAACAUGCUUCUUGAAGGGCUUUUAUCUUGAACAUCAAAUAAUCAAUACAUACUAAGGUCAAAGCUUGGAGCUUUAUGAUCAAAACAUGAAUCACAACAUAUCAACAACAUAAACUUCAAUCUCUAUUUACAUAAAUCAUGAAAACUCAUAAAAAUAUAAUCUUUGAACUUUAAAAAGGAAUUCUUGAACUUCUUGGGUGAAAGGAGACCAAGAAUCAGUAUCCGCAUACCUUGCUAUUUGAUUCACGGAAGAUUCACGGUGAAACCUUGAUGAUUUAGGUCUUGAAAUAUGAACCCUAGGUCUUGUUCUUAAAUAAAAUUGUGAAAAAAAUAGUAUUUUCGGUUAACUUAUGUUGAAUAUCAUGUUAAAGAGUAUAUAAAGUGGUUGGAAAAUUACCAUCUUUCCCUUGCAGAAACGGACAAAAACUGUUGAAAUUUGGCCCAGGUGGCGGUGCCUUGAAUUGAGCAGUGCUGAGACCAGGGCGGCGCCUUGCUAUAGCUGUGGGAAUUAUUAUUGAUGUUUCUUCUUAUCAAAGACUUAUGGGCAAGCUUAUGUAUGCUACUAUACCAAGAACUGAUAUCACUUUUGUUGUCAAAACUCUCAGCUAGUUCAUGCAACAUGCCUAUAAAUUUUAAAUUUUAAUAAUACAAGUUGACUGACUUUUCUUAAUCAAUACCCUUACCCCUCAGUUUACGCAAUUCACUAGUCUUCUUGUGCUUUUGUCUUUACAAUGUACUUCUCAAUGUGAGAUGACAUUUCAAUAGAAGUUGUGAAAAUCACAAUCUUUUUACUUUUUAGUAUGUUCAUAAAAAAUUAUUUUAUACCAAAAAAUAGUAAAAG